GGGCAGCUGGGUGGUGGGUCUGAUUCUGCCCUGGGAUCUGCUCUCCGAGGCCCUGCCGGGAAAACAACCACAACCCACCGACACAUCAGAAGACGACCGGACGACCUGAAGCCAGAAACCUGGAGACUUAUUAGAAAACAGGCACUCGGCCACCGUCGUCUGUGAAUGUGCCCUCACGAUAUCAAACUGCGGCGAAGCUAAAGAAGGGAGUCGCCGAGAAGUAGAGAGAGUCGUCGCAAGAGGACCGGCGUCUGACGGACUGAUUACGGGCCACGCGGAGGAGGCACUGUGGUCUAGUCGAAGGGUUUCUCUGCCCUUGGGCCCCGGGCAAGGUUGCCCUCAAGGAUAUGUACCUCCGCUACUGCAGAAUCAAUGGCUCUCAUCAAGAGCUCUGGAUGGGCCCGGGGUGUUGCCGGGACCCACCCUCCUCCUGACCUACCUUGGUCACAUCCGGAACGUUGAAGGACUUCUUGGUGUGAGCCGCCCAGCCCACGAUCCCGAUGUCCAGAGGGAAGACCACCUCGUUGUCCGGGGCCACCAGAUUCUCCUCGAACUUGGAAGCGGGCGUGACGUCGAGCAGCCGGGUGGCCACUUCGGGGAUGCCAUUCCGGGAGCGGAAGAUGAACAGGCUGCAGCGGUCGGCGCUCAACAGCUGGGCCAGUCUCCUCAGGACUCUGUGGACCACCAUCUCCAUGGUGAUUGCCUCAUCCUGCAUGUCCAGGAGAAUCUCAAAGAGCAGGGACGACUCCUCCAGCUGGGUCAUCUCCCUAAAGGAGACGCUGUCCUUCACAGGCCCCACGUUGCCCCGGAAAAGGUCUCGCAGGACCUCCGUCCGCAUUUUCUUGUCGAAGAACUCUCUGGCGAACUGGGGGUUGUUCUCCAGGAAUCUCUCCACCUCAUCUCUGCUCAUCUCCCCCAUGGUGCCUCUCUUGGUUUCCAGAAACCUCUCCCUGACCCAGCGGGGGCCACGGAGACGGAGGCACGGUGGGGCCGGGCCUCUUCGGGCUUCACGGUCUGGAUUCUCAACUCCCUCCCACCCUCCGCCCCUGCCCCGAAACUCUAGAGAUGUAACAGACGGCGGAGGCUUAGUGUCCUCUUAAUGGGGAGAUCCUCGGGGCUGCUAA